UCAAACUCCACACAGACAGGCACAGAAGUCUGGAAUUGAACCUGUAUCCCUGGUACUGCGGGGCAGCAGUGCUAACCAUUGAGCCACUGGAUGCCCAUCUCAUUAACUUUGCAACUGAGCUUAAGGGUUGCUUUUCUUGGAAUCACAUGACCAGAGAAGUAGACAUGCUCACCAAAUCAGGAGCUUGCAGAAGUCACACUCCAUCAUAAUCAACCCUCCCUCUGUCUCAUUGCAAGACAAACUGACCCACCCCACAGCCAACAUCUCGACUCACCUUCCUGUGGUUCCUGCUAACACUUCACCUGCAGCACUGACAAGGCCCAAACCCCAGACUGCAUGGCCGACGGUUCCAGACUCAUGCAAGGCCAAAUGCCUGACUGAUCAUCGCCAAUCUUUUGGACUGUAAUCACAUGAGCCUGUUGACUGACUAUGCCUCCACACCUUAACUGAGCAUUGUCCCCCACUAAUGACUGCACUCCUUUGACUUUCAGAUGUAGCCAUUUGCUUGUGUGUUUUGCUGUGUGUAACUGCUGCAGGUGUGGCAUUGCUGUAGCAAUGUACACAAGAUUAUUCAGUGUUUCCCCCUUCCUGUGACAGCUGCCUGAGUAAACAGCAAUAAAAGCCACCGAGGCUGUCACCUAUGACAGGGCACUGAAAAUUAUGUGUGCAGAGAAAACAUUGUGACCCACAUGGAGGCUGGCAGACUGUAGGUCAGGGCUGAAGUGAGUGAGGAAGCAUUAAGAAAUCAAUGUGAAGUGUACAAAGGCUAUCAGAUACUAAAUAAGUCGGUGAGCUUGAGGAAAUCAAGCUCUGAGCCAUAAGGUGCAUCAUGUGUUUAUACAUGAGAUGUGCGUGUGCUUGUUUGUUGACCUGGCAGAGCUAUAGAAGUCUGACAUAUCCCUGAACACCAAAGUGUUGAAGACUUGAAGUAAUGUGUGAGUUUGUCCAAGAGCAGGUGUGAUGAUGCUGAUUGAUGUGAUUUGCGUAGGUGUAGGGUUAAGGAGGAUGGUAGUCAUGGAGCAUGAAGGGAUGUUGUUGUGAAGUCACACAAUGGCUGGGACAAGCAUUUGGCAAGCUGCGGCAACCAAGUUAGCUGCUCUGGUUUUUCUGAUGGGAGUUUGCCUGGCCUAGUUCCUUGGGGAAAAAGCAGAAAAUUGGAAGUGAUGUAUAAAUAAGACAAGUUUGGACAUUAAUGAGAUCCACAUGCAUGCAAAUAAGGUAGUGGCUGUUGAAUGCCAAGAUUCUGAGGUCACCAUUUGAGGUGAAAUUUGAAAAGACUUUUUUAACAUUGAGAUUCUGGAUGCUUAGUUCUCUACAUAUUUUCUCACCUUAGUGAAAUUAAACUAAAAGGGAAAUAUUAGUAAAUAUACUGAUGGAGUUUUGGCCUGAUAGAUCUUCAGCUCCAGAUGGACUUCAUCUUAGGAUCUUCAAAGGAAUUGUGAAUGAGGUUGUGGAUGUGUUGGUGCUAAUUUUCCAGAUUUGCUAGGUUAAAGGAAGGUUCCAUGUGGGAAGUAGCAAAUAUAAAACCUCUAAUCAGGAAGGGAGGAAGGCAGAAAACAAGUGAGAUAGGCAGUGACCAUGAUAAGAAGAAAUUAUACAAGGAGAACAAGUUUUCUUUCAAUCAACUUGUUCGGAGUUGAUUGAAAGAAUGCUCUUUGCAACAGAUGGGGCAUGAACGUAGACCUUCUGGUCCAGGGGUAAGGACACUACAAUAAUGAACCACUGGAUUUCAGGAUUCUGGUUUGCAGAGGUAUUUAGGUGCUCCAGUGCAUGAAUCACUAAAGAUGUAUAUGUGACCUUGGGACAAAGGGAAUUAUAGGUCAUUGACACGAGGUGGGGUUGCGGAGUUCAAAGCAUACACAGAUCAGUUAUGAUCUUAUUGAAUGAUGCUGCAGGUCCAGUAUUUAUAAUCCAGUGAGGAUUGCAGAUGCUGGAGACUCAGAGUCAAAAAGGGUGGCACUGGAAAAGCACGGCCGGUCAGGCAGCA